GCCGACGUGGAGGACGGCGAGGAACCCUGCGUCCUUUCCUCGCAUUCUGGGAGCGCAGGCUCCAAGUCGGGAGGCGACAAGAUGUUCUCCCUCAAGAAGUGGAACGCGGUAGCCAUGUGGAGCUGGGACGUUGAGUGCGAUACCUGCGCCAUCUGCAGGGUCCAGGUGAUGGGUCUGGGUUUCCAGUGUUGCCUCCUGAACUCCAGAUGAGAUUCGCUCUGUUUACUUUCAGAUGCCUGUCUUAGAUGUCAAGCUGAAAACAAACAAGAGGACUGUGUUGUGGUCUGGGGAGAAUGUAACCACUCCUUCCACAACUGCUGCAUGUCCCUGUGGGUGAAGCAGAACAACCGCUGCCCUCUGUGCCAGCAGGACUGGGUGGUCCAAAGAAUCGGCAAGUGAGAGCCGGCAGAGGCUCUCCUGGUGCGGUGGGUGACCCUGGACAACCUUGUCACCAAGUCACUGGACAGACUUGACACUCCAGGGAUUCACCUUCAGAUAGAGGGAAUGGUGUGUGGCCUCUGGGACUCAUCCAAGGCAUGGUUUAUCAUUUUGUCUGUUUAAUUUUGGGAAAUUGUCUACAAUUAAGAUAAUUUAUUAAAAUAGCCUUUCCUACCUCUGUGGUGUGUGUGAUAUGUACUGCUUUGAACACCAGCAAUUGAAGGAUCUUUGUUGUUUAUCUGUCAGUACAUAAGGGCUGGGAGAGCAUUGC
rnacentral:lncRNA from 1 species